rnacentral:rRNA from 1 species
GUGGUGGGGAAACUACAACAGGCUCGCCCGAAAUGCAUUAGCGCCUCAGGACACAUUCGCUACUGCUCUACAAAAGGAAGAGCAGCGAAGCGUAUGGGGGGGAAAACCACCACCGGUUAUUCCAAACCUCGCCUGACUGUUUUUGCGCGCAUGGCAUGAUACGUCAUUUGCUGUGUUGCGUAGGUUGGUGCGUGGGACUGUGUGAGUGCCUCUAGAGCUUUGAGAAGUGUGUUUCGUGUGCUACGAACUGAAAAAGUACAUUCCUUUUUUUCAAUUCUGGUCUCAAAUCAGGUAGGAUCACCCGCUGAACUUAAGCAUAUCAAUAAGCGGAGGAGAAGAAACUAACAAGGAUUCCCCUAGUAACGGCGAGCGAAGCGGGAAGAGCUCAAAUUUGAAAGCUGGCACCUUCGGUGUCCGCUUGGUAAUCUCCA